rnacentral:lncRNA from 1 species
GAGCUGUUAGUACUGCUUUCAUCUGUUUUACAGCCACAGCGACAGCAGUUCCCUGGCUUCUGGAAGGAGUGUCGGUCUAUCCAAAAAAUGUACUAACAGAUAUGUAAAAAGUCGAAGGCUGAAUUUGGACCUGCUUUUCCUGUAUUUUCUCAGUUGCAUCUGGGCAGUAAGCUAAGUAUACAAGAAACGAGGGCCAACAUGAAGACAGUGUGGUGCACCAGGUGACGAAGUAAAUGUGCACGGGCUGUACUUUGAAUCAUCCUGUUAAAAACCAGUAGUGGGCCGGGCGCGGUGGCUCACGCCUGUAAUCCCAGCACUUUGGGAGGCCGAGGCGUGCGGAUCACGAGGUCAGGAGAUCGAGACCAU